UGUCGUGAGGAUGUAGAAGAGGUUUUUUUCUGAUGACUCUUCCAUGAAGACCAUAUUUGUACAAGUAUCUCUUUAUAGUGGAACUCCAGUGUCUGCCUGAUCUUUCUGGAGGGAUUAUGCAGUCAAACGUGGGUUUUGAAUAGUUUUUCUCACAAUCCUGCGAGCUGUUCUGUCUCAUAUUUUUCUUGGUCUUCCAGAUCUUGCUUUAACUUCCACUGUUCCUGAUGACUGCCAUUUUUUAAUUCCAUUCCGAACAGAGGAUAUUGACAUCUGAAAAUGUUUUGCUAUCUUCUUAUAGCCUUCUCCAGCUUUGUGAGCGUCAACUAUUUUCAGUUUCAGAUUUCUAGACAACUGCUUAGAAGAACCCAUGGUGCUGAUUGUUGAGGCAAGCGCUUCUAGGAUCCAGUGCUGCGCUACGGGAGCCUAGACACGUGACCGCAGCACGAAGAUGUCCUCACAGUGACAGUAGGCUGACUCUGGGCGUGCUGGUUGCAGCUCUAACGAAGCAUCCUAGUUACAGCCUCGCCCGUACAUCCUCCCCUGACCCGGAGGUACUACGCUCCAGGCCAACUCGGUUGCAUCUUUUAUUUUUUGUGUCUAUGGUCACUUCAUGAAUUUUUGUACGCCCACUGCAUCAUCUGCAUUAUGUACCCAUAUACUACUUUAUAUUAUGCUUGCGUAUUUGUUUUUCAUUGUUUUCAUGUAUUUGAUGUGUUUCAUGUAAUAAACUCUGGCCUCUUCUGGUGAAUUUGGGUGCCUGUUUCCACAGUUUUUUUUCUGCAUCCACUUCAGCUUGUCUUCCAGGAUUGGCAAGCCCUCUCCUGCACCCUAGGCUCAGCAACUGUUUCCAUAUAUUGCUAACCCCUACUGAGGGUUGAUAUGCAAGUUUUCCACUUGCUCCAGUUGAAAUCCUGGAAAUUGCUGAACUGCGGAAAAAGAUUCUCUGUGAUCUGCAGAGUGAACAAGGCAAAUAAGGCAAAGACAGAGUAACAAAGUAACAAAAAAUAAAUAAAUACUGAACAAAUGGUACUAUCUAGAGUUACUGAAAAUAAUACACAAAAAUAAGUUACCUUAAAGGGGUACUCCGGUGGGGGAAAAAAUUCAAAUCAACUGGUGGCAGGAAGUUAUACAGAUUUAUAAAUUACUUCUAUAUAAAAAUCUUAAUCCUUCCAGUACUUAUCAGCUGCUGUUUACUGUACAGGAAGUUGUGUAGAUCUUUCUAGUCUGAACACAGUGCUCUCUGCUGCCACCUCUGUCCAUGUCAGGAACUGUACAGAACAGGAGAUAUUCACUAUGGGUAUUUGCUCCUUCUCUGGACAGGUGAAAUGUGUUGAGUGUUGAAAAUGCAGGGACAUUCC